rnacentral:rRNA from 1 species
CCUAAAGCGUUCGUAGCCGGAUCAGUCAGUCUUGAGUGAAAUCCUUGCGCUUAACAAAAGGGCGUGCUUGAGAUACUGCUGGUCUAGAGACCGGGAGGCGUUAGAGGUAUUCCAGGGGGAGCGGUAAAAUGUUGUAAUCCCUGGAGGACCACCUGUGGCGAAGGCGUCUAACGAGAACGGGUCUGACGGUGAGGAACGAAAGCUAGGGGAGCAAACCGGAUUAGAUACCCGAGUAGUCCUAGCCGUAAACGCUGUGUACUAGAUGUUGCAUAAUCUCAAUGGUUAUGCAGUGUCGGAGCGAAGGCGUUAAGUACACCGCCUGGGUAGUACGGUCGCAAGGCUGAAACUUAAAGGAAUUGGCGGGGGAGCACCACAAGGGGUGCGGCGUGCGGUUUAAUCUAACUUCACGCAGAGAAUCUCACCAGCAGCGACGGCAGAAUGAAGGUCAGUCUGAAGGGCUUACCUGACGAGCCGAGAGGUAGUGCAUGGCCGUCGUCAGCUCGUGCCGUAAGGUGUCCUCUUAAGUGAGGUAACGAGCGAGACCCAUACUUUUAAUUGCUAGCGGGCUCUUUAGAGCGACCGAGCACAUUAAAGGGACUGCCCUGGAAACAGGGAGGAAGGUGUGGGCAACGGUAGGUCUGUAUGCUCCGAAUCUGCUGGGCUACACGCGCGCAACAAUGGUAAGGACAAUCGGAUGCGACACCGAAAGGUGAAGCCAAACCAUUAAACCUUAUCCAAGUCUAGAUUGAGGAUUGUAAUUCAUCCUCAUGACAACGGAAUCCCUAGUAAU